rnacentral:lncRNA from 1 species
AUGAAAACCUCAGAGGUGCACUCAGGCACUUCGGACAAACUUUCUUUUCUUUUGUUUUUGCUUCAAAGAAAAAAGUUCCACCAAAUUUCCAGAUCGGAAGAGCACAUGUUAGCCACGGUUCUCCAGGUAGCACUAGUGGUAAAGGAUGUGUCUGCCAGUGCAGAAGACACAAGAGACGCGGGUUCGAUCCCCGGGUGGGGAAGAUCCCCUGGAGAAGAGGAUGGCAACCCACCCCAGUAUUCAUGCCUGGAGAAUUCCACUGGACAGAGGAGCCUGUUGGGCUACAGUCCAUGGGGUCGCAAAAAGCUGGACAUGACUGAAGCGACUAAGGAUGCAUGCAAGGCUCUCCAAUCAUGACUAACGGAAACAAACUGGAGGAACCUGAAGAAAAAAGGAGGAUCAGGAGUUUGUUAUACAAAUGAUAUGGUAUUAACAGAAUUUUUUAAAAAGCUGGGUCUAAGGAAGGAACUGGAAGCAUGAACUAGAAAGCUGUAGGAACAUGGGUCUGACUGCCUUUCUCUCAUCUCUGCCUGCUUUCUUCAAAUUUUUUCCUUCACUAACCAACUCCUUCUCAGGACACAUGCUAGAAUGUGGGUGCAGAAUCAUUUAUGUGUUGCAGUUCCUGGCCCACACAGCCUUUAAUACAUUGUUCUUGAAACCCGAUGCCAAAUUAGAAGGCAAAAAAAAAAAAAAAAAAAGGCAGCAGGCUCAGUGUGAGUCAGCUGUCCGCCUGUGGCAGAAUCACAGGCUGGGAGACUGGGCACGUGGAAGAUAAAAGGGAGACAAGGGAAUGGUUUGUUAAUUGGGCAUAUACCCUCCUCAAAUGACCAAAAUACCCUGAGUUUGGGACUUUGACCUGACAACCACUCAUUUCCUUAAAAAAGACCAAGAAACAAGUGAACUACAGGAUUAAAUCAGGUGAAAGUAGGAAGAGAAGAGAAACAUGCACUAUGUUUAGUGACUAAGUCGUAUCCAACUUUUGCAGUCCCAUGGACUAUAGCCUGCCAGGCUCCUCUGUCCAUGGGAUAUCCCAGGCAAGAGUACUGGAGUGGGAUGCCAUUUCCUUCUCCAGGGGAUCUCGAAGCCAUCAUAGGUGCCUGGAACAGAUCUCCCCUGCUUGUUUACAAUGGGGACGAUGAGUGUACUGCCAGGUUGUCAUUUCAGCAGUUCAUAAGCAUCUUCAGCAGGGGUAUAUUCCAUCUUGAGAAACCACUGUGCUCAUCUAUAAGAAGCAACUCCUCAUCCUCAAAGUUUUGUCACGAGAUGGCAGAAAUUCGGUCACUAACUCCAGCUCCACGUCUAAUUCUAGUUCUCUGGCUAUUUCUACCACAUCUGCAAUUACUUCCACCACUGAAGUCUUGAAACCCUCAAACUAAUUUAAGACGGUAGGAAUACACGUCUUACCUCCUGUUAAUGUUGAUGCUUUGAUCUCACCCUAUGAAUCAUACAUGUAUUUCAUGGCAUCUAGAAUGGUGAAUCCUUUCCAGAAAGCUUUCAAUUUAGUUUUCCCAGAUCCAACAGAGA